AUUGAACGCUGGCGGCAUGCCUUACACAUGCAAGUCGAACGGUAACGCGGGGCAACCUGGCGACGAGUGGCGAACGGGUGAGUAAUGCAUCGGAACGUGCCUGGUAGUGGGGGAUAACUGCUCGAAAGAGCAGCUAAUACAGCAUACGACCUGAGGGUGAAAGGGGGGGAUCGCAAGACCUCUCGCUAUCAGAGCGGCCGAUGUCGGAUUAGCUAGUGGGUGGGGUAAAGGCCCACCAAGGCAACGAUCCGUAGCUGGUCUGAGAGGACGACCAGCCACACUGGGACUGAGACACGGCCCAGACUCCUACGGGAGGCAGCAGUGGGGAAUUUUGGACAAUGGACGCAAGUCUGAUCCAGCCAUGCCGCGUGCGGGAAGAAGGCCUUCGGGUUGUAAACCGCUUUUGUCAGGGAAGAAAUCUUCUGGGCUAAUACCCUGGGAGGGUGACGGUACCUGAAGAAUAAGCACCGGCUAACUACGUGCCAGCCGCCGCGGUAACAC
rnacentral:rRNA from 1 species